GUGGGGAAUCUUCCGCAAUGGACGAAAGUCUGACGGAGCAACGCCGCGUGAGUGAUGAAGGUCUUCGGAUUGUAAAACUCUGUUGUCAGGGACGAAUGUGCGAACGUUGAAUAAGCGUUUGUAUUGACGGUACCUGACGAGGAAGCCACGGCUAACUACGUGCCAGCAGCCGCGGUAAUACGUAGGUGGCAAGCGUUGUCCGGAAUUAUUGGGCGUAAAGAGCAUGUAGGCUGGCUUUUAAGUCCGACGUGAAAAUGCGGGGCUUAACCCCGUAUGGCGUUGGAUACUGGAAGUCUUGAGUGCAGGAGAGGAAAGGGGAAUUCCCAGUGUAGCGGUGAAAUGCGUAGAUAUUGCGAGGAACACCAGUGGCGAAGGCGCCUUUCUGGACUGUGUCUGACGCUGAGAUGCGAAAGCCAGGGUAGCAAACGGGAUUAGAAACCCUGGUAGUCCC
rnacentral:rRNA from 1 species